AAGAGUUUCUCAGUGAUUCCACUUCUAUUUCUAGACAUCUGUGCUGCUGCAGUAGGAUUCAUGAUAUUCUGUGUGAUGGAUUUAACUGUUUGGGGUGCAGCCUGGAUACGAACAGACGCAGGAAAAGCUAAAGCAGACACCUUCAGACGACUGAUGCAGGGAUCAUAGAUUUUGUUUUUUUCCCCCCCACAAUGUGAGGACGCAGCGGCUGAGGACCCAGACCUGUGGAGCGACUCUUCCACCCACAACCUGUCACUUUCAUCACCGUGCAUCCACGUCUUGCUCUUACAGACACCAUGAAAGGGAAUAACUGCUGUCCUGAACUUUGCCUCCUCCAUCCCUUUGGUUCUGGUUGGUCCCCAUUGAUGGCCUGCGUUGCACUUCCUGGAUUGCCUCUGCCUCCUUCCCUCAACCCCUCUGCUCGGAUCCUGUUUGCUGCCCUGGUUGCUGAUGUGCCCCACUGCCACCACUCUUUCCCCGUCUGGCACCAGAGUGUAGGUUCACCACCUGCCUUCUUCC